GGAAGCGUAGCUCAGUGGGAGAGCGCCUGCCUUACAAGCAGGAGGCCACAGGUUCGAACCCUGUCGCUUCCACCA
rnacentral:tRNA from 1 species